ACUGUAGUGAAGUUUCAAUCAACGGUGUAAAUGUUUCGAGUGGCUCGGUAUUGGAUUAAGUACGGCGCCUUGUAAAUCGCUUCAGAGUAGUCGCUCGGUACGCGAAGGCAACACUGGCUUCUUUCACUGCUCCGCCGAACCAUAAUAUGAAGGUGCGCUGGAGUCGUCGCGGCAGUUGAGCGUUCGCGGAGCGUGCAGCGUGUUGAAGAGGGCGCCAACACGCAGGCGGGUGGUGGGCUUGACGUGUGUCCCAGUAUGACAGGUAGAAGCGCGUUAAAAGGCGAGUGAGAGUCUGGAAUCUGGCGCACUUGACCGGCUCUCUGACACACACACACGGAGUAGAAGAGUGUUAGCUAGCUGCAUGCUAGCGGCGAGAGCCCGCUGCUCCCUCCGACCAGUUCCCGGCGCUUGAGCUGACGACGAGUCCUCCACCGAGCUCGGACGUUACAGCGGCUGCGACAACAACAACAACAACAACAACUUUCUAAACCACUCCACCACUCCACUUCCCGAGGCUGCCGUGUUGACUUGUGACGGCUCUGCGCGACGUUCCUCGCCCGUGUGUGAAUGGCCUCUGCGGUGGCGAUGAAGACCGAGAAGCGGCCGGCAUCCGAUUCUCUGGAUGCGGAUUCCAACGCCAAGAAACCCAGGAAGCUCCUGCCCAGCCUCAAGACCAAGCGCGCCCCUGAGCUGGUGCUGGUGAUCGGCACCGGGGUCAGCUCGGCUGUGGCCCCUCAGGUCCCGGCUCUACGCUCCUGGAAAGGUCUCAUUCAGGCCUUGCUGGAUGCUGCCAAUGACUUUGACCUUUUAGAAGAGGAGGAGAGUCGUCGCUUCCAGAAGCACAUGCAGGAGGAUAAGAAUUUGGUACAUGUGGCCCAUGACCUCAUUCAGAAGCUUUCUCCGAGGACGGGCAACGUGCGCUCCACCUUCUUCAAAGACUGCCUGUAUGAGGUGUUUGACGAUUUGGAGAGCAAGAUGGAGAACGCCGGGAAGCAUCUGCUGCGCUCGGUGCUGCAGCUGAUGGAGAGCGGCGCCCUGGUCCUCACCACCAACUUCGACAACUUGCUGGAGAUCUACGCGGCCCACCAGGGCACCAAGCUGGAGUCGCUGGACUUGACAGACGAGAAGAAGGUGCUGGAGUGGGCUCAGGAGAAGCGCCGGCUGAGCGUCCUGCACAUCCACGGCGUCUACACCAACCCCUGCGGCAUCGUGCUGCACCCUGCUGGCUACCAGAAUGUACUGCGCAACACUGAAGUGAUGCGCGAGAUCCAGAAGCUUUACGAGACCAAGUCCUUCGUGUUCCUGGGCUGCGGGCGCACGGUGGACGACACCACCUUCCAGGCCCUCUUUCUGGAGGCGGUGAAGCACAAGUCGGACCUGGAGCACUUCAUGCUGGUGCGGCGCGAGGACGUGGGCGAGUUCAAGAAGCUGCGCGACAACAUGCUGGACAAGGGCAUCAAGGUCAUCUCUUAUGGCGACGAGUACGCGGACCUGCCCGAGUACUUCGAGAGACUGGCCAACGAGAUCUGCAACCGGGACGUCUCCACCAACGGCUGGGGUGAGGCCACAUCUCCACUCACCCGCUUAGAGGGCGGUGCAACCUUCCGGCCUCCGUGUGUGUGGUGACCCGCCCCGCUUCAGACAGGCCGCACACGGAGGUUUUGAUGUGAUAAAGUACAAGGCUCCCCUCAGAAUGGAGAGGAAGAUCAGAACGGCUGCAACACGCAGAAGAGCCUGCUCCAAGGUUAAGUCCCCACCUUCCUCCCGAGGCUUUGGUUUUUUAAGAAGCCUUUCCAGGGUUUUAAAGCGCCGACUAUCGCUCUGUUGCUUGCGGGUCAACGCGCACCUCCUCCUGGUGCCAUGACGUGCUGAAAUGUUCACUUCUGACUUUUUUUUAUCGGACCCCAACGCUGCACGCCGAGCAGCUGCAGGAGGGCCCAGCAUCUGUGACCCUGCAUCGCUUCCUUCACAGCCCAAGGGAAAUGGUCUCGGCCAACACUCAGCUCCUGAGUCCCGCUGGUGCUGGCCACUUCAGCCGCGUGGUCUCUUCACAUUCCUCACAGUCUCCAUGACACUCACCUGGCUGUCGAGGGGAAUGUGACUCUGCUGUGAUACGUUUCCUUUUCUGUUUAAAGCACGGUCUAGUUGGACUGUGCGGCCGGUUUCACUCAGGACCGGCUUCUCCAGCCAGUAGCAAUAACUCUGCCACUCCUGUGCUGAAAAUCUGAAGGAAAAAAAAGGUUUCCUUUGUACCUGUUUUUUUUUUUUUUGUAUUUUUGAAUAUUUGCAUGUUUUCUGAUAUAGUAUUUAUACAAGUACUAUUUUCAAAAUAAAGCUUUGGUAUUCCAGUGCUGACCUCGUGUUUCCAAGGCAACAUCCCAGUGACGUGGUGCGGAGCGUGUCGGCCACCCGCAGACCAGGAGGGACGUGCGUGGCCUCAGGCCUGGACCUGUGACACUAGACACUAGUGAUGGACUCGUGAGGCUUCAUCGAACCGUGUCCUCAUUUCCCAAUGGAUGGCACUAAAUGAGCGCCACCUACUGAGCUCAUGAGUUUCAUGAAGACUCCUCCUCCAGCGCUACUAAUAACUAACAAUACAUGUGAUUACGAUUUGAACAAUCAUGAACAUUUUUUUAAUUUAAUAUUUCAUUAUUUUCCCCCACAGAUUAAAAUAUGAAGCUACUGUUUUACCCCAUAAAAUACAUUUGGGCUUGAACAUAUUGGAAAAGUUUAAAAUAUUUUCAUAUGUCCAAUGUCGUAAUGCUGCGACACCGUGCCAGAUUCUUAAGGCUUGUGAAGCCAUUUCCUUUUCUGAAGCUUUAUUACAUUUGAUUUGUUUGUUUGCUGGUCUUAGGGAAUCCCUGCUAUUCUUUGGACAAAGUGCGAGCACUUCCUUCUCAGCGUGCUGGUGGAAUAGGCUUUGUUGUUCCACACUGCAGCUGCUGAGCUAAAACAAGGACACGGUUUCAUGAAGCUUCAAAUGUUCCACAUAGGCUGGCAUUUAUCUGCAGUUUCCUGAAGCACCAGCAAAGGUGAGUUGUAAUGACAAAGGUACGAUUAUAACAGCAGCUUUAUUUAGAAACAUCCUUAUAAAUUAGAGCGACUCUUCUGUAGAACUUCUUUACCACAAAUGAAAGGGUCUCACUUCUCCAUUGGCGAAGUGAAUCAAGGUUGAAAGCAAGAAUCCAACUCAAGAGUUUCAGCCUGAACAUUGAAAUAAGAAAGGUCCUCGUGAAUCUUGGUCAGCUCCUCGGGAUCUUCUCCAGACCACAGUUUGGAGAAGAUCCCUAACCCUAACCCUACCCCUAACCCAACUUCCAGCUGUUUCUAAAGCUGAUGCGCCUUGAACUGGACCACACACUUUCACCACAGAAUCAUGGGGGGAGGGAUCCUUGUGGGACCCUAACCCUAACCCUAACCCUAACCUUAACCCUAACCCUAACUCUUUAACCCAAACUCUAUCCCCCAACCCAUGUAUUAAAAAAAUAAAAAUAAAUAUAUAUAUAACAUGUAAACAUAUAAAAUAAAUAUAUACAUGUCUUUAUAAUAUAUAUAUGUUUUAACUAUAUUUCAAAUGUUUAUUUUUUUACACAUAUAACUUUUACUUUAAAUAAUAACAAUUAACUUCUUGUAAAAAAAAAAAAAAAAUUUUUUAAACAAAAAAUAUAAAAUAAAACAUUGUAUUUUUUCAGAAAAAUACAACCCCUAACCCUAACCUUAACCAUAACCCUAACCCUAACCCUAACAGUAACCCUAAACCUAACCCUAACAGUAACCCUAACCCUAACCCUAACCCUAACCCUAACACUAAACCUAACCCUAACCCUAACUCAACUAUUUAAAUAAACUACUAUAUAAACUACUAUUUAUUUACACUUUUACUUAAAAUAAUAACAAAAAACCUCUUACAUAAUAUAUACAUUAAAAAAUAUAUAUACUUUUUACACAAAAAAAAAAAAAAUUUUAUAUAAAAACUAUAAAUUGUUUUGUUUUAUUUUAAUGUAUAUACUUUUAUUUUAGACAUACCCUAACCCUAACCCUAACCUUAACCCUAACCCUAACUCUUUAACCCAAACUCUAUCCCCCAACCCAUGUAUUAAAAAAAUAAAUAUAAAUAUAUAUAUAACAUAUAAACAUAUAAAAUAAAUAUAUACAUGUCUUUAUAAUAUAUAUAUGUUUUAACUAUAUUUCAAAUGUUUAUUUUUUUACACAUAUAACUUUUACUUUAAAUAAUAACAAUUAACAUCUUGUAAAAAAAAAAAAAAAAAAUUUUUAAAACAAAAAAUAUAAAAUAAAACAUUGUAUUUUUUCAGAAAAAUACAACCCCUAACCCUAACCUUAACCAUAACCCUAACAGUAACCCUAAACCUAACCCUAACAGUAACCCUAACCCUAACCCUAACCCUAACCCUAACCCUAACCCUAACUCAAAACCGAACCCUAACCCUAACCCUAACCGUAACCCUAACCCUAAACCUAACCCUAACCCUAACAGUAACCCUAACCCUAACAGUAACCCUAACCCUAACCCUAACCCUAACAGUAACCCUAACCCUAACCCUAACCCUAACAGUAACCCUCACCCUAACCCUAACCCUAACCCUAACUCAAACUGAAAACCGAAC